AGCGUAGGCGGUUUUGCAAGUCAGAAGUGAAAGGCUACGGCUCAACCGUAGUAAGCUUUUGAAACUGCAAGACUAGAGUGCAGGAGAGGCAAGUGGAAUUCCUAGUGUAGAGGUGAAGUUCGUAGAUAUUAGGAGGAACACCAGUGGCGAAGGCGACUUGCUGGACUGUAACUGACGCUGAGGCUCGAAAGCGUGGGGAGCGAACA
rnacentral:rRNA from 1 species